AGCUCCAAGUGAUGAAGCUUUCCAGGACUGUUUUGACAGACAGCCUUUGUUCUACUGAGAGAGACAACUAUGAACUGCAAAUGCAGGUUACCCCAAGUUCUCAGUGGCUCUGGGAGGGGAGCACAGAGAUGAUUUACACAGCUCAUCCUUCAAAUACAGCCAAGACUGGCGAGCCUGCAUGUAAGCCAGGUGGAGAGGGUACAACCCAAGAUGCCCAGGACUGCUAGACAGAGGCAGGCCAGAUGCAGAGAGUGCAGAUUAUUCAUUCGUUUAACCAUCGUUCGCACAAACUGGACAUUGAGAAUUCCUCCAAUAAGUCCGCAGAUGCAGCAGGCGGAAACAGGAUCAUCUGUGGAGUGGGAUUAAAUAGGUGUUAUAAGUGCUGAUAUCUCUAUAAAGGUGUGCAUGCAGUAGAUUAGAUAAUAAAUAUUUAUAAUGUCACUUAUCCUCUUACAGUAAGUCCAGUUCUCUUUUUGGCACACAGUAUCCCACAAACUCCACAUAUGAGAAACUGUAAAACAAAGAUCUGUGCUAAAUCAAAUCUUUCCCAGCACAUAUUUUGUAAUGUUUAUAUUGUAUUUAAA